UCAAGCUAAUAAGAGCGUAGGGUGAAUGCCUUGGCAUUAAGAGCCGAAGAAGGACGCGGUUAACUGCGAAAAGCCAUGGGGAGCUGUAAGCAAGCAUUGAUCCAUGGAUAUCCGAAUGGGGAAACCCGGCGGUCGUAAUGGGCCGUCACCGUUACAUGAAUAAAUAGUGUAACGGGGGGAACCCGGUGAACUGAAACAUCUAAGUAGCCGGAGGAAGAGAAAGAAAGAUCGAUUUUCUUAGUAGCGGCGAGCGAACGGGAAAGAGGCCAAACCGGGACUCUACGGAGUACCGGGGUUGAGGACCUGCGGAAUCGAAGUUGGAGAUAGUCGAAGACGGUUGGAAAGCCGAACCGGAGAGGGUAAAAGUCCCGUAGGCGAAAUCAAAGACGAGAGGCGGGUAUCCAGAGUACCACAGGACACGAGUAAUCCGGUGGGAAGCAGGGGGGUCCACCCCCCAAGCCUAAAUACUACUUAAUGACCGAUAGCGUAUAGUACCGUGAGGGAAAGGUGAAAAGAACCCCGGGAGGGGAGUGAAAGAGAACCUGAAACCCUAUGUUUACAAGCAGAGGGAGCGAAAGCGACCUCGUACUUUUUGUAGAACGGGCCGGCGAGUUACUGUGUGCAGCGAGGUUAAGGCGUAGAGCGCCGGAGCCGAAGCGAGAGCGAGUCUGAAGAGGGCGAAAGUUGUGCGCAGUAGACCCGAAACCGGGUGACCUAUCCAUGGACAGGAUGAAGCGGCGGUAAGACGCCGUGGAGGUCCGAACCACACGUAUGUUGAAAAAUGCGGGGAUGAGCUGUGGAUAGCGGAGAAAUUCCAAUCGAACUCGGAGAUAGCUGGUUCUCCCCGAAAUAGCUUUAGGGCUAGCCUCGUUUUAGAUUACCGGGGGUAGAGCACUGAAUGGGCUAGGGGGCCACAAAGCUUACCGAACCCUAUCAAACUUCGAAUACCGGAUAAUUGAUGAACGGGAGUCAGACGGCGGGAGAUAAGUUUCGUCGUCAAAAGGGAAACAGCCCAGAUCUACGACUAAGGUCCCGAAAUCACAGUUAAGUGGAAAAGGAUGUGCAGUUGCACAGACAACCAGGAUGUUGGCUUAGAAGCAGCCACUCAUUUAAAGAGUGCGUAAUAGCUCACUGGUCGAGUGAUUGUGCGCCGAAAAUGUACCGGGGCUAAACUGUGUACCGAAGUCUAGGGAUCGUGAUAAACGAUCGGUAGGGGAGCAACGUGUGCGGGCUGAAGCCGAAGCGGAAGCGACGGUGGACUGCACGGGAGAGAGAAUGCCGGCAUGAGUAGCGAGAGCAAAGUGAGAAUCUUUGCCGUCGAAAGCCUAAGGUUUCCUGAGGAAGGCUCGUCCUCUCAGGGUAAGUCAGGACCUAAGCCGAGGACAAAAGUCGUAGGCGAUGGACAACUGGUUGAUAUUCCAGUACCACCUUUAGCGUUUGACUGAAGCAGUGACACAGAAGGAUAGACAGAGCGCGUGACUGGUAGAGCGCGUCCAAGCGAUGAGGGAGUUAAGUAGUGAAGAACGCUUAACAAUCCUGGGUCGUGAUGGGGACUGAAAAUAAGUAGGGAAGCUGUUGAAUUCACGCUGGCGAGAAAAGCUGCUAAGGAGCGAAAGGGUGCCUGUACCGCAAACCGACACAGGUAGGCGAGGAGAGAAUCCUAAGACGAGCGGGAGAACCCAUGUUAAGGAACUCGGCAAAAUGACCCUGUAACUUCGGGAUAAAGGGAGCCACGAGAGUGGCCGCAGAGAAUAGGCCCAAGCGACUGUUUACCAAAAACACAGGUCUGUGCGAAGUAGAGAUACGACGUAUACGGGCUGACGCCUGCCCAGUGCCGGAAGGUUAAGGGGAAGUGUUAGGGCAACCGAAGCACGGAACUUAAGCCCCGGUGAACGGCGGCCGUAACUAUAACGGUCCUAAGGUAGCGAAAUUCCUUGUCGGGU
rnacentral:rRNA from 1 species